rnacentral:rRNA from 1 species
GAUGAACGCUGGCGGCGUGCCUAAUACAUGCCAGUCGAGCGAACAGACGAGGAGCUUGCUUCUCUGACGUUAGCGGCGGACGGGUGAGUAACACGUGGAUAACCUACCUAUAAGACUGGGAUAACUUCGGGAAACCGGAGCUAAUACCGGAUAAUAUUUUGAACCGCAUGGUUCAAUAGUGAAAGACGGUUUUGCUGUCACUUAUAGAUGGAUCCGCGCUGCAUUAGCUAGUUGGUAAGGUAACGGCUUACCAAGGCAACGAUGCGUAGCCGACCUGAGAGGGUGAUCGGCCACACUGGAACUGAGACACGGUCCAGACUCCUACGGGAGGCAGCAGUAGGGAAUCUUCCGCAAUGGGCGAAAGCCUGACGGAGCAACGCCGCGUGAGUGAUGAAGGUCUUCGGAUCGUAAAACUCUGUUAUUAGGGAAGAACAUAUGUGUAAGUAACUGUGCACAUCUUGACGGUACCUAAUCAGAAAGCCACGGCUAACUACGUG